rnacentral:rRNA from 1 species
UGGGGAAUAUUGCACAAUGGGCGCAAGCCUGAUGCAGCCAUGCCGCGUGUGUGAAGAAGGCCUUCGGGUUGUAAAGCACUUUCAGCGGGGAGGAAGGCGGUGAGGUUAAUAACCUCAUCGAUUGACGUUACCCGCAGAAGAAGCACCGGCUAACUCCGUGCCAGCAGCCGCGGUAAUACGGAGGGUGCAAGCGUUAAUCGGAAUUACUGGGCGUAAAGCGCACGCAGGCGGUCUGUCAAGUCGGAUGUGAAAUCCCCGGGCUCAACCUGGGAACUGCAUUCGAAACUGGCAGGCUAGAGUCUUGUAGAGGGGGGUAGAAUUCCCGGUGUAGCGGUGAAAUGCGUAGAGAUCUGGAGGAAUACCGGUGGCGAAGGCGGCCCCCUGGACAAAGACUGACGCUCAGGUGCGAAAGCGUGGGGAGCAAACAGG